CGGAGGGAGCAGCGCCCUGUGCUUUUCCGCACCCUCCAUGACGGGUCCUGGCCCCACUACCGUGACGGUGGGGGCGCGGCCUCUGGAAGUGGCGGGAACAGUCUGGAAGACCAGGGUUCUCACUUGCCACCUCUGGGUGCUCGCAGAGACUAACAAGGACCAGUGGGAGGAAAAUAUUGUCAUGGAAAUCAUCUCUGAGACUUUCUUUCACAAGCCCGUGACCACAGGUCUCUCCGCUGUGAGGACAUCAAACUGAAGGAGGCUGCCUCUGCCCACGAGGACGAGGACGAGUCAGGGAAUGGCCGGGAGAAAGUGGUCUUCCUGUUUAUAGGAUGGGCGCUGAUGGUCCUGUAAGUGUCUUCUGUGUGGAGGAAAGGACAUUUUUGGACCCUCAUUAUGGAGAUCCCAGAUUCAGGGAAGGAGCAAAGGCUUGAUGAGUCCAGACUGGAGAAAGUUGGAGUGCGAGCACAUGACUCAGGAAGUAGCUAAUCCAUGUGGCUAGUGGAAAGCUGACAGGUCACCACCCCGAGACUUGAUGACAGUUUUGGCUCUCCCAGAAAUGGAAUCUUCAAUCAGUCAAUCAGCCUGAUGUACCCUGCCAUCCCUUAAAGCAGAGUGAGAGAAUUUCCAAUUUUCUUCAGACUCUAAGUGGUUGACAGUGGUGAUCUAAUACUCUGUCCUUGGUUUCAAAAAGAAGCAAUAUUAGUGCAGGCUUCCUGGAACUCGGCAGCUUCUUCUGGACAGACCAUUCCCCCUUCUACACAUAGGGGCAGCAGAGUCCAGCCUGCCCCCAUUGCAUCAUACCUGAUUUUGAGUGGCACUGCUCCGUGCUGCAAGGAAAAAAAAGGAGGGAAGAACACCUUACCAUGUUGAAAACCAGGAGAUGUAAGUGCUGCGUUUAGUAGCAGCAAUGGUAAUGCCCAUCGGGCACUCGGAGCCGGUGGCUCUGUAAUGAAAUCCA